GGACUAUUCCCAUAAGAAGACACUAGCAGGAUAAACAUGCUAUUUUGGACAUUUACUUUACUAUGCUACGUUCGAUCAUGUAUGGCAGUGACGGUAAUUAUAGACGAGAAGGUGGUGAAUUGCGAUGUAAACUGUGCGUGUUGUAAAGGAGGAACGUCAAAAUGUAAUAUUGAUACAACCUGUAAAGACGGAUGUGUUGCAACCAUAUAUGGUCACAGAUGUUUUCACUCUUGUCCCGAAAACUGCUAUACGUGCGAACAUAUGUUAGGCAAGUUAUGUUACACAUGCAAAGAUACAUUUUAUGAUAAAAACAGUUUAUGUAGCAAGAGGUGUUCUGUAGGGUGUAACAGUGGAA